UGCUAUGCUGAGGUUUGCAAAAGGGCUGU
rnacentral:piRNA from 1 species